rnacentral:rRNA from 3 species
CACUAACUGGAGGACCGAACCGACUAAUGUUGAAAAAUUAGCGGAUGACUUGUGGCUGGGGGUGAAAGGCCAAUCAAACCGGGAGAUAGCUGGUUCUCCCCGAAAGCUAUUUAGGUAGCGCCUCGUGAAUUCAUCUCCGGGGGUAGAGCACUGUUUCGGCAAGGGGGUCAUCCCGACUUACCAACCCGAUGCAAACUGCGAAUACCGGAGAAUGUUAUCACGGGAGACACACGGCGGGUGCUAACGUCCGUCGUGAAGAGGGAAACAACCCAGACCGCCAGCUAAGGUCCCAAAGUCAUGGUUAAGUGGGAAACGAUGUGGGAAGGCCCAGACAGCCAGGAUGUUGGCUUAGAAGCAGCCAUCAUUUAAAGAAAGCGUAAUAGCUCACUGGUCGAGUCGGCCUGCGCGGAAGAUGUAACGGGGCUAAACCAUGCACCGAAGCUGCGGCAGCGACACUAUGUGUUGUUGGGUAGGGGAGCGUUCUGUAAGCCUGUGAAGGUGUACUGUGAGGUAUGCUGGAGGUAUCAGAAGUGCGAAUGCUGACAUAAGUAACGAUAAAGCGGGUGAAAAGCCCGCUCGCCGGAAGACCAAGGGUUCCUGUCCAACGUUAAUCGGGGCAGGGUGAGUCGACCCCUAAGGCGAGGCCGAAAGGCGUAGUCGAUGGGAAACAGGUUAAUAUUCCUGUACUUGGUGUUACUGCGAAGGGGGGACGGAGAAGGCUAUGUUGGCCGGGCGACGGUUGUCCCGGUUUAAGCGUGUAGGCUGGUUUUCCAGGCAAAUCCGGAAAACUAAGGCUGAGGCGUGAUGACGAGGCACUACGGUGCUGAAGCAACAAAUGCCCUGCUUCCAGGAAAAGCCUCUAAGCAUCAGGUAACAUCAAAUCGUACCCCAAACCGACACAGGUGGUCAGGUAGAGAAUACCAAGGCGCUUGAGAGAACUCGGGUGAAGGAACUAGGCAAAAUGGUGCCGUAACUUCGGGAGAAGGCACGCUGAUAUGUAGGUGAAGUCCCUCGCGGAUGGAGCUGAAAUCAGUCGAAGAUACCAGCUGGCUGCAACUGUUUAUUAAAAACACAGCACUGUGCAAACACGAAAGUGGACGUAUACGGUGUGACGCCUGCCCGGUGCCGGAAGGUUAAUUGAUGGGGUCAGCGCAAGCGAAGCUCUUGAUCGAAGCCCCGGUAAACGGCGGCCGUAACUAUAACGGUCCUAAGGUAGCGAAAUUCCUUGUCGGGUAAGUUCCGACCUGCACGAAUGGCGUAAUGAUGGCCAGGCUGUCUCCACCCGAGACUCAGUGAAAUUGAACUCGCUGUGAAGAUGCAGUGUACCCGCGGCAAGACGGAAAGACCCCGUGAACCUUUACUAUAGCUUGACACUGAACAUUGAGCCUUGAUGUGUAGGAUAGGUGGGAGGCUUUGAAGUGUGGACGCCAGUCUGCAUGGAGCCGACCUUGAAAUACCACCCUUUAAUGUUUGAUGUUCUAACGUUGACCCGUAAUCCGGGUUGCGGACAGUGUCUGGUGGGUAGUUUGACUGGGGCGGUCUCCUCCUAAAGAGUAACGGAGGAGCACGAAGGUUGGCUAAUCCUGGUCGGACAUCAGGAGGUUAGUGCAAUGGCAUAAGCCAGCUUGACUGCGAGCGUGACGGCGCGAGCAGGUGCGAAAGCAGGUCAUAGUGAUCCGGUGGUUCUGAAUGGAAGGGCCAUCGCUCAACGGAUAAAAGGUACUCCGGGGAUAACAGGCUGAUACCGCCCAAGAGUUCAUAUCGACGGCGGUGUUUGGCACCUCGAUGUCGGCUCAUCACAUCCUGGGGCUGAAGUAGGUCCCAAGGGUAUGGCUGUUCGCCAUUUAAAGUGGUACGCGAGCUGGGUUUAGAACGUCGUGAGACAGUUCGGUCCCUAUCUGCCGUGGGCGCUGGAGAACUGAGGGGGGCUGCUCCUAGUACGAGAGGACCGGAGUGGACGCAUCACUGGUGUUCGGGUUGUCAUGCCAAUGGCACUGCCCGGUAGCUAAAUGCGGAAGAGAUAAGUGCUGAAAGCAUCUAAGCACGAAACUUGCCCCGAGAUGAGUUCUCCCUGACUCCUUGAGAGUCCUGAAGGAACGUUGAAGACGACGACGUUGAUAGGCCGGGUGUGUAAGCGCAGCGAUGCGUUGAGCUAACCGGUACUAAUGAACCGUGAGGCUUAACCUUACAACGCCGAAGGUGUUU